rnacentral:rRNA from 1 species
AUUGAACGCUGGCGGCAGGCCUAACACAUGCAAGUCGAACGAGUGGCAGACGGGUGAGUAAUGUCUGGGAAACUGCCUGAUGGAGGGGGAUCACUACUCGAACCGGUAGCUAACACCGCAUCCCAUCAGAUGUGCCCAGAUGGGAUUAGCUUGUUGGUGGGGUAACGGCUCACCAAGGCGACGAUCACUAGCUGGUCUGAGAGGAUGACCAGCAACACUGGAACUGAGACACGGUCCAGAAUCCGACGGGAGGCAGCAGUGGGGAAUAUUGCACAAUGGGCGCAAGCCUGAUGCAGCCAUACCGCGUGGAUGAAGAAGGCCUUCGGGUUGUAAAGUACUUUCAGCGGGGAGGCGUUACCCGCAGAAGAAGCACCGGCUAACUCCGUGCCAGCAGCCGCGGUAAUAC